rnacentral:rRNA from 1 species
GACGAACGCUGGCGGCGUGCUUAACACAUGCAAGUCGAACGGAGAAUUUAUUUCGGUAAAUUCUUAGUGGCGAACGGGUGAGUAACGCGUGGGCAACCUGCCCUUCAGAUGGGGACAACAUCCCGAAAGGGGUGCUAAUACCGAAUACGAUCACGCUGCCGCAUGGCGGUGGGAUGAAAGAUGGCCUCUAUUUAUAAGCUAUCGCUGAAGGAUGGCCUGCGUCUGAUUAGCUAGUUGGUGGGGUAACGGCCUACCAAGGCGAUGAUCAGUAGCCGGUCUGAGAGGAUGAACGGCCACAUUGGGACUGAGACACGGCCCAAACUCCUACGGGAGGCAGCAGUGGGGAAUAUUCCGCAAUGGACGAAAGUCUGACGGAGCAACGCCGCGUGAGUGAUGAAGGUUUUCGGACUGUAAAACUCUGUUGUUUAGGACGAAAGUGCCUGUUGCAAAUAGUUGCAGGUAUUGACGGUACUGAACGAGGAAGCCACGGCUAACUACGUGCCAGCCGCCGCGGUAA